UCUCCUGGAGCUCAGUGGUAGAGCGUCUGUCCGGUGUGCCGAUGGUUUUUGGUUCGACUCCUGUUCUGGAGAA